AGCGAACGCUGGCGGCAGGCCUAACACAUGCAAGUCGAACGAAGUCUUCGGACUUAGUGGCGGACGGGUGAGUAACACGUGGGAACGUGCCUUUAGGUUCGGAAUAACUCAGGGAAACUUGUGCUAAUACCGAAUGUGCCCUUCGGGGGAAAGAUUUAUCGCCUUUAGAGCGGCCCGCGUCUGAUUAGCUAGUUGGUGAGGUAAAGGCUCACCAAGGCGACGAUCAGUAGCUGGUCUGAGAGGAUGACCAGCCACAUUGGGACUGAGACACGGCCCAAACUCCUACGGGAGGCAGCAGUGGGGAAUCUUGCGCAAUGGGCGAAAGCCUGACGCAGCCAUGCCGCGUGGAUGAUGAAGGUCUUAGGAUUGUAAAAUUCUUUCACCGGGGACGAUAAUGACGGUACCCGGGGAAGAAGCCCCGGCUAACUUCGUGCCAGCCGCCGCAGUAAUAC
rnacentral:rRNA from 1 species